rnacentral:lncRNA from 1 species
UGGAAAUGCUAAGUCACGGCCUGAAGCAGUAAUUGAGCACCUGGUGGGAAGGCAGGGCCAACCCAGGGAAGCUCAGGUGCAUGCAAUGCACCUGAGUGGCCGGAAGAGGUGGAAUCAGGAUCCACCCCUUCCCAGACCUCAUUUAAGGGCUGGCAGUGGAGGUGAGGAUAUCUCUUGUUGGAGAUUUCUACCUACCAGAGGCCUUCUAAAGGAAGACAAAAAGCAGAAAAAAAAUUGCACUUAAAUCUCUGGAUCUAUGAAGAAAGGAGGAAUACAUCAGGAAAAAAGGACUCUAGCCAGCAAUAGCAUCAUUAAAUUAUUCUAAUCAAGAGAGCUUCAGGGUCACCAAGAAUCAACUGCAAGUCCAUAUUUAUGAAGUUAUGGGUGUAAUCUCACACUAACAUAUUUGAUUGGCCUCUGGAACUCGCAGACCACAAAUAUUUAGGCAAAUCUUGGGCUUCUGGGGCAGAGUGAAAGCAAUCUGAAUGCAAUAUUAGCCAUUGCGCUAUAACCAAAAGUUCUAUUCAUUCAUAAUUGAAAUGGAGCUUGAGUAUACACCAGUUCUAUUGGGAGUCUGGGAAAGACAAAUGCACUUCAACAGUGGAAACAGGUCAUUAGG